UUACGACCACAUCAUGUUGAAACACCAGUUCCCAUAUGAUCACCACAGUUAAGCAACGUCGAGCCUGGUCAGUAACUAGAUGGGUGACCGCUUGGGAAUACUAGGUGCUGUGA